AAAAUGCGAUACGUAGUGUGAAUUGCAGAUUUCAGUGAAUCAUCGAAUCUUUGAACGCAUAUUGCGCCCUCUGGUAUUCCGGAGGGCAUGCCUGUCUGAGCGUCAAUAAAUCCUCAAACUUUAGUGUUUGGUAUUGGGGGAAGUGGCUGGGAAACCGGCUUCUCCUCUUAAAGUCAUUGGCGAUGCUACCUGUAGCUUGUAAGAUGUAGUAAGUGAAAUUCCUCCAUCGAAGCAGGUUAUAGUGAGAGUGUCUGCCAACUGAAAAAGAUUUAUUGUAAACUUGACCUCAGAUCAGGUAAGGAUACCCGCUGAACUUAA
rnacentral:misc_RNA from 1 species